rnacentral:rRNA from 1 species
GACGAACGCUGGCGGCGUGCUUAACACAUGCAAGUCGAACGGAAAGGCCCUGCUUUUGUGGGGUGCUCGAGUGGCGAACGGGUGAGUAACACGUGAGUAACCUGCCCUUGACUUUGGGAUAACUUCAGGAAACUGGGGCUAAUACCGGAUAGGAGCUCCUGCUGCAUGGUGGGGGUUGGAAAGUUUCGGCGGUUGGGGAUGGACUCGCGGCUUAUCAGCUUGUUGGUGGGGUAGUGGCUUACCAAGGCUUUGACGGGUAGCCGGCCUGAGAGGGUGACCGGCAACAGUGGGAGGGAGAUACGGCCCAGACUCCGGGGGGGGGAAGAGGGGGGGAAUGUUGCACAAGGGGCGGAGGCCUGAUGCAGCACCGCCGGGUGGGGGAUGACGGCUUUGGGUUUGUAAACCGCUUUCGCCUGUGACGAGGGGGGGGUGAGGGUAGGGGAUAAAGAAGCCCCGGCUAACUACGUG